rnacentral:rRNA from 1 species
CCCGCUGAACUUAAGCAUAUCAAUAAGCGGAGGAAAAGAAACCAACAGGGAUUGCCUCAGUAACGGCGAGUGAAGCGGCAACAGCUCAAAUUUGAAAUCUGGCUCUUUUAGGGCCCGAGUUGUAAUUUGGAGAGGAUGCUUCGGGACUGGCCCCCGUCUAAGUGCCCUGGAACGGGCCGUCAUAGAGGGUGAGAAUCCCGUCUGGGAUGGGUGGCCUGGCCCGUGUGAAGCUCCUUCGACGAGUCGAGUUGUUUGGGAAUGCAGCUCUAAAUGGGUGGUAAAUUUCAUCUAAAGCUAAAUAUUGGCCGGAGACCGAUAGCGCACAAGUAGAGUGAUCGAAAGAUGAAAAGCACUUUGAAAAGAGAGUUAAACAGCACGUGAAAUUGUUGAAAGGGAAGCGCUUGCAACCAGACUCGCCCGGGGGGGCUCAACCGGCACUCGUGCCGGUGCACUCCCCCCCGGGCGGGCCAGCGUCGGUUUGGGCGGUCGGUCAAAGGUCCCCGGAAUGUAUCACCUCUCGGGGUGUCUUAUAGCCGGGGAUGCAAUGCGACCAGCCCGGACCGAGGAACGCGCUUCGGCUCGGACGCUGGCGUAAUGGUUGUAAGCGGCCCGUCUUGAAACACGG